UGGGAAACAGAUUGUGAUUCAAUAGGGCUGAGGGCCCAAGACUGCAUUUCCAGCCAGCUCCAAAGUAAUGCUGAUAACCACAGUGAGCACCAAAGCCAAAUGCCAAAAACCAAAAAGGACGGCAAGAAUCAACCACAGGGGACAUCAGAGGACCACAGGUGGAGGAGAAGAGGCGAAAGUGGAAGCAACACAGAGCAGCUGACACAAAUCUUCAACUCAUUGAUGAUGGCAUCUGACAGUUCCAGGUAUUAAGAGAGAAAGAAUCUGAGAAAUUAUGGCGUACUCAACUGUGGACAGCUGAAAGUCUGGCAUAGCGUGCCCUCAUCAUCACAAAUGGGCUCACAUUACAAGCUACACUUAUUUGACAACUAUCAGCAUUUGUCAACUGGCACUCAGAUUUGAAGGCUCAUUUCACAACUGGAGCAAGAGAGGACAGGAAGGAAAAAUCAGAGUAAAGUUUCAAUGAGUUUCUGCAAAUUCUCAGAAGUUUCGCUGCCACUCAGUGUCACAAUAACAAAAAGAAAUAAAAAUAGCUGAUAUUUACUAAA